rnacentral:rRNA from 1 species
UACGGAGGGUGCAAGCGUUAAUCGGAAUCACUGGGCGUAAAGCGUGCGCAGGCGGUUUGGUAAGUCUGUUGUGAAAUCCCCGAGCUCAACUUGGGAAUUGCAAUGGAUACUGGCAGGCUGGAGUAUGGUAGAGGAAGGUGGAAUUCCCGGUGUAGCAGUGAAAUGCGUAGAGAUCGGGAGGAACACCAGUGGCGAAGGCGGCCUUCUGGACCAAUACUGACGCUCAUGCACGAAAGCGUGGGGAGCAAACAGG